CAACCCUCAAGCCUGGCUUGGUGAUGGGGCAGUGCCUUGGAGACAAGGCACGCCCUGAAAUUCAGUGGCGAGCUCGCCAGGACCCCGAGCGCAGUAGUUACAUCUCGCUCUGGAAGGCCCUGGCGGUGCCCUGCCGUUAAACCCCCAACUUCUGAAA
rnacentral:misc_RNA from 1 species